rnacentral:rRNA from 1 species
AUGGGGGCAAAAAUUGACCAGUCUGUGAAUGAUGGUGGAGGUCCAAUUUUUUUAAAAAUUAAUGGUCAGGUUUGUCAUCGUAUAGGCUCACUACUUCCGAAUGUGGGUGAUUCCCCCAAAUAUGCAGAGUUAUACAUACAUGAAAGAGAAAAUGAGGUUAACAACAGAAUUCAUGCCCUAAACCACCACAACAAAACCAGCACUGGGUUAGACAAGGAGAUUGUUAAGGGUCUUAUGCAGAUGCUUGAUGCAAACAAUUCUUUGGUGAAGAAAUUCCGUAUGGCUAGCGACAUACUGAAAAAUAAUAAACAUGAGGUGAUUUCAAUAAGGCUUAUAGCUCCUGGUGAAAAUGAUGGCACUCAAUUUAAUUUGCCUACAACAGAUGAAUUGGCGGCUUUAGUUUAUGGUGAUUUCACGUUGGAAGCGAUGUGUAGAGACCUGAUUAUACGCAGUAAAGCAGAUUGGCUUCAUCGUACUUCAUCUUUAGAUACUACCUACAUGUAUUUGCAAUACCCUCUGCUGUUCCCAUAUGGUGAACGUGGCUUUCAGCUCGGUGUGCGCUAUAUUGGUACUGAUGUUAAUGACACGAGCAAGAGAGGUAAAAUGACCAUGCAAGACUUCUAUUGCUUCUGUUCACAUUAUAAACAAGACCAGCAUAAUCCUUACCUAUGCUGUGGCCUGUUGUCGACACAGGCUGCUGUUGAUUUCUGGGCUUGCAUUGAUGAAUGUCGGCUCAGUUUUAUUCUUAAAUGUAACGAUGAGAUGCGGGUUGAAAAUCUUCAGGGCGUUGUCGACGCGGUAGGCUAG